AAAUCCCGCAUCUUCAUCCUCCAUGAAAAUUUCAUAACCAAACUUCAAAUCCUCAUAUCUCUUUCGUUUCUUAACGGAAUUGAGCGAUUCUCGCGGCCAUAGAAUGAGGAAAGGAUCCUCUAAUGGAUUAGAUAUUCAAUUUAAGGUGAUCUUGAGCUUACAAGAAGGAUUUUCAUGGUGAAUUUGGCGGAUUAAUGCUUCAGCAUGGGGUACCUUCAAGGUACGACAAGUCGGUCUAUUAACAGACAAGAAGCUCAAGGAGCUUACGCUAUUAUGAAUAAAGGUUUAGGAUAAGUAAGCUGUGAGUAUAUUUUACUUUCUCGCAUUAUCGUAAUUAAACUUAUGUUAUAUACUAUAUGAUUAGUAUUUCAAUGCAUCACAUAAUUGGUUUGGAUUGUGUUGUUGGAUUAAAUUGGUUAGGAUUAUAAUGUUUUUGCUUGUAUUGAAUUGUUUAUAUUGCUUUGUAUAUGCAACUUGUGAGGUGUAUAUGGUUCGAAUUAGAAAUGUAAUAUGCCUUUUUGGCUAUUGGAUAGUCAUUUGAUUUGGUAAAUGAUGCAUUAAAGUAUUUGUUGUUGAAGUUGUUUUGAGAUUUGGUUUUGUGGCCAAAUGGUUAUUUAGUUGUGCUUAAAUGGUUUGAGAUUUAUGUUGGUGAUAUGCCACUCUGUAAUGAUGUAUGUGAGAGGUGCUGAGUUGUGAUAUGCAUAUGUGAUUAUGUGCUGAGAUAGAGAUAUGCACAUGAGAGAAUAUUUUGUUAGGUGUCAAUGCGCAUGACACCGGGCUAAGUCCUGAACGAUGGUCGGUGAAGGGAGAAGGGUCGAGCCUGCUAAUGAAGUAGAAGGGUUAAAUGUCAGGUGGCCUAGAAAGAGUUUGGCUAGGCUAUAAGCCAGUGUUGUGUUCCGGGUUACAGACCUAGGGUUUGGUGAAUUAUUACAGAGAUGGAUAUCACAAUUGUUGAAAUGAUGUUCAUGUUAUUAUGAGUUUUAUAGAUGUUGAGAAUAUUGAAUAUGCCUUCUUU